AUUUGUUCUACAGGAUAUGGGGGGCAGGUGACAGAUUAUCUCUGAGCAAGGAAGACCUCUUUUUUCUUAGAGAGCAGAGUAGUGAAAGACAUGUAUAAGUUAAUUUGAAGUAAGAUACAAUGACCCCGAAAGCAAAGGCAAGUGUUUUUUGUUUUAUAUAUAAAAUAGAAGUGAGGGACUCCACAGAGUAGUGUAUGCACUGAAAGGGAUAAACUAAGAUUAUCACAAGGUAUCUCCAGAAGUUGUGAUAGUACCGUGGGUUAUUUGUCAAAGCUAGAGAGAGGAAGACUGUAGGAAGCAAAGAGAGAGCUUGAAUGACAUUUUGGCUGUCUGGCUAAAUUUGAAAGGCCUUUGUAGCCUCCAUACAAAUAAAGCAGUAAGGUUAGAUGCGAGCCUGAGACUCUCCAGCAGAAACUAGAACUUGAGGAGCAGUAGCCUCUACAGCAAUCAAAGGGUACUGCACUAUCUUCCUUAACUUUUGUGAGCCUGACUGUCAGAUAAAACAUGUGGUUUCUUUUAAAGUCCUAGAAAACAAACAGCUUGCUAAGGUACCUGCAGGUGAUGUCAAUUAGCAAAAGUAGAAUUCUGAUGCUCAGGAGCAGACGUUUAAAACCCUUACAGCCUAAGCAGAAGAACUGAGGUAGGAGCAACUUUAAGGUGGGCUUUCAGAGCAGGAUAGGUGUGCUACACUACUCAGUUAAAAGAUGUUCCUUUGUUGUUGGUAACUGGGUACUACUGAUCUGUUAUUUUGGCUUGGUAGGAAAUUUGCUCUUUGAAUGAAGGUGGUAGCUUUGGAACUUCUCCAUAUAACUGGCCUAGAGCUAGAUACAUGUAUGCCAGCAGAUGGUAGAUUGACUACAGCUUCAGUUUAGACUAAAGGUGUAGGAUAUGUGCUUUCUCUGUGGAUAUGGCUGUUGAGUCUGAAUCAAGCUUCCUAAAGGAGAAAAGACUCACGUCCCUGCUGGACUCUUCAAAAGGAUGGAAAUGAGUUUGUUCUGGAUCCAUCAGAAAAGCAUUUCCAGUGCAGCUGACUGAAGAAAUGGGAGAGAUGAGCUCCAGAAUAGCCUUUAGGUCCAGGGAAAACUUCAGGGAGGUAAAAGAGCGUUGACAGCUGAAAAGGUCGCAUUGACAGAUGGCCUCAUCACUCGGGCAUUACAGACCACCUUGAAGAUAUCGGCACUGCUGGCCUUUGAAGUCAGAAUAAUCACCAAGCCAUUUGAUACUCCAUCAGAUGAAAUGGCCCUGUCAGAAGAGGCUGGCUCUCAGGUGUGCUGAUUGUCUAGCGAAAGCAGGUAACUCGACACAGUGUGCUGUGGCACAGAUUCACAGGCCUUGUGGGAUGCUGUAACAGAUGUCUUCUUAGAUGCACUUCUUCACAUCUCUUACAAAAAGAUUCCCAAACCACUCCUAACAGAAAUUAUAGUGUGCCAAUUUCCUGCCUGCAAUAUUCCCACAAUACUCCAAAUUCCUGUGAAGAUAGGCAAAUGUAUCUGCUGUAAUUAGGGUCACAGUUGCAGAGAUUCAGGUGACAGAUCCAUGUAUAAAUCCUGUCAAAGCCUUGAUUUAGGUAUUGGAUAGCAGACGUUAUGAGGCAAGGUUCUACUGUUUUACAGCAGAAAGCUGAUGAAAUCUGGCACAAGAUUAUUUUCAGAAAAAAAAAACCUUUUUUUUCCUUAAGAAUAUCCAGGACAGUAGCAGUUUGUUUUCCCCUCAGGUUACCUUGACCUCUCAAUAUAUGUCAUUAUCUUUGUUAUGAUGUACACUCAACAAAUAUUUAUCUUAAAGAACGGUUUAGCAGAAACCAAAUUUUAAAAACCAUUACCUUAAAUUCCACUUUUACAUGUCCAUGUAAAUACUUAUUUUCAAAACUGGGUAUUGGUUGGAGAAUCAAGUGCUUCACAAACCCAUCGGACAGUGAGACUGGAAAGGAAAAAUUGAGGAGUUUGGGCUUUUUUUCAGUUCUAACAAAAUUUCAGCUUGUGGCACAACAAUGAUGUUUCUUCUCAAAGAACAAAUAUUUCUGAUGGCUUCAAAAUCAGUUCUCCAGAAAGUUAAAGUCAUUCGUUUAUGUUUAGGGUGAACUGGAGUUGAAAGCAAGAAAUAUUAAGCUGAAAAGAAAUUUAAACAUCUUGUUAAUUGAAAUUUUGACUAAUCCAUAAGGUUUACGUGGGCAGAAGCAAGCAAAAAUAUUUGUUUCAGCAUUAGCAGUAACUUUAGUGGUAGUUUAUGUCAGCGUUGGGGAAAGUUACGCUAUAGUUGUGUCUGUUCAUAUUACAGGAAGGAAACUCACUUUUCCAUGAAAGACUCUGGCUUGUUCAAAUGGUAAUUCUUCAUCAAGAAGAAUCACAGAAUGUUCACUCUGUAGUAAAUGUCAUUAAAGCAGCCCAAGGACCUAAAACCA